rnacentral:rRNA from 1 species
AAAUUGAAGAGUUUGAUCAUGGCUCAGAUUGAACGCUGGCGGCAGGCCUAACACAUGCAAGUCGAACGGUAACAGGAAACAGCUUGCUGUUUCGCUGACGAGUGGCGGACGGGUGAGUAAUGUCUGGGAAACUGCCUGAUGGAGGGGGAUAACUACUGGAAACGGUAGCUAAUACCGCAUAAUGUCGCAAGACUAAAGAGGGGGACCUUCGGGCCUCUUGCCAUCGGAUGUGCCCAGAUGGGAUUAGCUAGUAGGUGGGGUAACGGCUCACCUAGGCGACGAUCCCUAGCUGGUCUGAGAGGAUGACCAGCCACACUGGAACUGAGACACGGUCCAGACUCCUACGGGAGGCAGCAGUGGGGAAUAUUGCACAAUGGGCGCAAGCCUGAUGCAGCCAUGCCGCGUGUAUGAAGAAGGCCUUCGGGUUGUAAAGUACUUUCAGCGGGGAGGAAGGGAGUAAAGUUA